rnacentral:rRNA from 1 species
AUUGAACGCUGGCGGCAUGCUUUACACAUGCAAGUCGAACGGUAACAGGCCUUCGGGUGCUGACGAGUGGCGAACGGGUGAGUAAUGCAUCGGAACGUGCCCAAUCGUGGGGGAUAACGUAGCGAAAGUUACGCUAAUACCGCAUAAGCCCUGAGGGGGAAAGUGGGGGACCGCAAGGCCUCACGCGAAUGGAGCGGCCGAUGUCAGAUUAGCUAGUUGGUGGGGUAAAGGCUCACCAAGGCGACGAUCUGUAGCGGGUCUGAGAGGAUGAUCCGCCACACUGGGACUGAGACACGGCCCAGACUCCUACGGGAGGCAGCAGUGGGGAAUUUUGCGCAAUGGCCGAAAGGCUGACGCAGCGACGCCGCGUGGAGGAUGACGCCCUCGGGUGGU